CAAUAGCGUAUAUUAAAGUUGUUGCAGUUAAAAAGCUCGUAGUUGGAUUUGUGGCGUACGGUGGGUUCCGGGCACUUGUUGUCUGAGUAACUUGCUGUUGCCAUCCUUGGGUGGAACCUGUGUGGCAUUAGGUUGUCGUGCAGGGGAUGCCCAUCAUUUACUGUGAAAAAAUUAGAGUGUUCAAAGCAGGCUUAUGCCGUUGAAUAUAUUAGCAUGGAAUAAUGAGAUAGGACUUUUUUGCUAUUUUGUUGGUUUGCGCAAAGAGGUAAUGAUUAAUAGGGACAGUUGGGGGUAUUCGUAUUCCAUUGUCAGAGGUGAAAUUCUUGGAUUUUUGGAAGUCGAACUACUGCGAAAGCAUUUACCAAGGAUGUUUUCAUUAA
rnacentral:rRNA from 1 species